rfam:Ananas comosus cultivar MD2 ACMD2_Scaffold_418, whole genome shotgun sequence.
GCCGAGCUCAGUAGCGGGAGCUUGUAACCCGAGCGGGGGCAACAGGGUGGGUUCGGACGUUUGGUGGUGUUGUUGGGUCUGGGCUGCAGUUGUGCGAGGGGCUGGCCCGCCCGGUCCAAGUUGGGCAGUUGUCAAUGUGGACUCAGGCGAAGGCUUGGGUCAAGUGGGCCUUAAAGUGGAGGAGACAGCGUGAGGCUGGCUUUACAGAGCAGCGAACACCUCCCGCUCUCAACGGUGGACGGAUUACGGGCCGCCGCAUUCUGAGUCCAAUAUGACCCAGCGGCCCAUUCAAAUGGACACCCACUUUU